AAAAACAGUAGCACGUACAGUAUAGUAGUAAUAUAAUACAUUGUGUUCAAGAUCACUGGUACGAGACAGAGAAAUGGAUACCUAAUUCGAGGUGUGUAAAGUCCAUGUAUUGGCCGAUGGGAAAAGGAAAUGCCCAGAUUUUUUUAUACUGCUGCCUCUUGUUGAGGGUCACCAGGUAGCUGGAACCUUCACAUGCUUUACAAACAAAGUUACUCUUCGUAAUUAGUUAGUCAAUAAGAAGUUGAGACUAUUACUCUUUGAAAAAACAAUUUUAACAAGUUAAAAUAUUAAAAUCCUUGUCUGUGCUUUUUUUAAAAAAUACCCUGAGGGUCAAGAGUUGCAGUACCCACUACACCCCAUUUUUAAUGCUGCUUUUACACCAGACAAAGAAAACUUUCUCUCAAUGUUACUCGUGAGUGUUUGACCAUGUUAGUUGUGUACACAAUGGGUACAGAAAGUAUUCAUACGCCCUUGGAAUUUUCACCCAAAAGUUUUCACACCCUUUGCUAUGGAUUUAGUAGAAGCACACUUUGGAGCUCAUGCAGCCAUCAAUCUUUGGAAUUAUGUGACAAGUUUUACACACCUGCAUUUGCGCAUUUGGGGAUUCUCUGCCAUUCCACCGUGCAAAUCCCCUGCAGUCUUGUUCGGUUGGAUGGUGAAUGUUGCUCAACAGCUAUUUUCAGGGACCUCCAGGGAUACUCAAUUGGGAUUAAGUCAGGGUACAAGCUGGGCCAUUCACAAACCGUAACGGGGUUAUUCUGAAGCUACUCCUUCGUUAUUUUACCUGUGAGCUUCAAUUGUGUCGCUACGACUAGAAAAGGCAAAGAGACCACAGGGUGGAGUUUCCUCUGCCUUUUUAGGCCAUUUCCAGUAGCCAUUUUUACUUUCCUUUUCUAAGCAACAAAGCAACAACAAUGGUGACCAUGGAACAGUGUCUGCUAGAACCUAGCUAAUCAGAAGACAUUUAAUUAUGCCACAUUAUCGAUCAAGAAAGCGGCAUACAUUGUAUGUGGAACCGAGAGGAACACUGAGUAUGUCGCUAUAGCAUGUGACUGAAAUGGACCAAUUGCAAGAGAUGAUCUCCACAGCAUUCUACACACAGCAACAUUAUUUGCCGUGUCAGCAUUAAGCAACGCAGAGGGCCUGGGCCAAUGUGUGGGUCACAUUACGCAAUGUCAAAUACAAAGAGACUUUUAGAAUUAAGGCCAAAAAAUUCUGUCUUGGUCUCAUCAGAGGAUGAAACAAAAUCUUAAUUCUCCCCAUAUUUGACUCCUUCAGGGGUUUUAUAGCAUACUUCACGCUGCCUUUCACCUCUUGCACAGAGGAGAGACUUCCCAUUGGCCACUUUCGCAAAAAGCCCCAACUUCUGGAUGGCUACAGUGAUGGUUGACUUUCUAAACCUCCCUCCCAUCUCCUGACUGUAUCUCUGGAGCUCAGCCACAGUGAUCUUUGCACUCUUCUUGAUCUCUUUCACAAAGGGUCUUCUCCCACAAUUACUCAGUGUGGCCGGACGGCCUGUUCCAGGAACGGUUGUGGUUGUCCCAAAUGUCUUCCAUUUAAGCAUUAUAGUGGUAUUAGGAACCUUAAGUGGAGCAGAAAUCUUUUUCUAUCAUUAACCAGAUCUGUGUCUUGACACAAUUCUGUCUGAACUUUUCAGUGAGUUCAUUUGACCUCGUGAUUUUCAUCUGCUCCGACAUGAACUGUGAGCUGUAACAUCUUACAUAGACUGGUGUGUGGUUUUCCUAAUCAAGUCCAAUCACUUUAAUCAAACACAGCUGGACUGAAUGAAGGUGUAUAACCAAUUCAAGGAUGAUUAGAAGAAAUGGACAGCACCUGAGUCAAAUAUGAUUGUCACACCAAAGGUUCUGAAUACUUAUGGCCGGGAGAUAUUUAAGUUUUUCUUUUUAAUAAAUCUACAAACUUUUCAACAAUUCCAUUUUUGUCAAAAUGGGCUGCAGUGUGUACAUUGAGGAAAUAAAAUAACUUAAAUGAUUUUAGCAAAUGGCUGCAACAUAACAGUAACGAAUUAAAAGGUGUCUGAAUACUUUCCGUACCCACUGUACACUGAACGUGAAUUGACUUCAUUCACACCACACCUACCGGAAAAAAAUAUUUACUUGGUAGAUAUCAACACCAUUUUUUAUAUUUCUUGAUUGAGGGACUGUCCCGUUGAAGCCAGUUUACAUACACAGUGCAAAAACAUUUCAUUUUUUUGUCUUACUGUCUGAAGUCAAAUCAGACUAUCCCUCCCCCUUUUCAGGUCAAUCAGGAUCAGGAUUUCCUCAAUACCACAAUAAUAGAGAAUUUCUUAAAGGAUUUUACAUUUUUUUUAGGUCAAAAGUUUACAUACAUUUCCUGAAGUUCAAGUAGCAUUUCCUUUGAACUGCAUGAAUCGGGUCAUAAAGUUUGGGUAACCUUCAAGCUUCUAACAGAAAUCUGCUGGAAUCCUGGCCCAUUCCUCUUGAGAGAACUGAUGUAACUGAGUCAGGUUUAUUUGGUGGCCUUGCUCGCACACGGCUUUUCAGAUCUGCCCACAGAUUUGUGAUGGGAUUAAGAUCAGGCAUUGACUUUAUCCUCAAGCCACUUUUUAAUCAUUUUGGCAGUAUCCUGAGGGUCAUUGCCCAUUUGCGCCCAAGUUUUAGCUUCAGAGGUGAUGUCUUGAGAUGUUGCCUCAAUAUGUGUGUAAUAUUCUUCCUACAUGAUGCUGUCUAUUUUAUGAAGAGCUCAAUUUCCUGCUGCAGCAAAACAGCCCCACAACAUGAUACUGACACCUCCAUGCUUCACAGUUGGUAUGGUGUUCUCAGGUCUACAAGCUUCCCCCCUAUUUCCUUCAGAUAUAACAUUGGUCAUUAUGGCCAAACAGCUCCAAUUUAGUUUCAUCAGACCACAGGACAUGUCUCCAGAAGUUAAGCACUUUGUCUUGAUGUCUUUUUGCAAACUGUAUACUGUCCUUUUUAUAUUUAUUUAGGAUCAAUGGGUUCAUUCUUGAUGAGUGCCCUUUCAGCCCAUGUUGGUGCAGGAGUCAUUUCACUGUGGCGCAUGACACUUUCUAACCAACUUCAUCCAGCAUCUUUCCAAGGUCUUUAGCUUUUGUUCUGGGGUUGAUUCCCACGGGUCCGACGCAGGCGCUCAUCAUUUUCCAUGAAUGUUGUCAUGGUGGGAUAUUCCCAUGAUGUUUACACUUACAUACAAUUGUUUAAACAGAUUAACGUGGCACCUUCAAGCAUCUAGAAACUGCACCCAAGAAUGAGCCAGAAUUGUGGAGCUCCACGAUUCUUUCUGUCAUUCCAUUGACGAUUAAUUUUAAUUUCCCCAUAAUUUCAAACAAGGACGCAGUGUUUGAGAUGUGGCCUUAUCUACAUACACACGUCUGCUAUCAAUUAACUCACACGUUGUGAUUUAACCUAUCAGGACCUUCCAAAGCCAUGACCUCAUCCUCUGGGCUUCCCCAUGUUAUUUAAGGAUAUACUACUUUUUGUGUAUGUAAACUUUUGACCUCAAAGAAAAUGUGAAUUUCUCUCUCUCAUUAUUGUGGCAUUUAACAGAAUUAAAUAAUUUGGGUGAUCCUGACUGACCUGAAAUUUAUUUGACUUAAGACAUCCAUCCGUUCAUCCAUCCAUUUUCUCAGCCUCUUAUCCUCAUGAGGGUCGUGGGAGUUCUGGAGCCUAUCCCAGCUGUCAUCCGGCAGGAGGCAGGCUAGACCCUGAUCUUGUUGCCAGCCAAACGCAGAGCACAUGGAAACAAACACCCAAACUCACAAUCACACCCAGGACAAUGUAGAUUGUCCAAUUAACUUGUUUUUUUUGAUGCAUCAGGAAACCAGAGUGCCCAGAGAAAACCCAUGCAGGUCGAGGGAGAACAUGCAAACUCCACACAGGCAGAGCUGGGAUUGAACCCUGGUCCCUGGAACUGUGAGGCCAACACUUUACAGCUGCUCCACGAUGCCGCCUGAUUUUAGUGAGACAAAAAAAUCAAAAGUUUUUGCACAGUGUAUAUCAACCUCUGCGUUGAACUGUACCUCUGCUUACCUUAUCUUUAUGUGGUGUCCCUGCAGUCAAAUGUCCUGACUCACUAACUGUGAAGUCAUGGGUGUAGAAUCUGUGUGGGUGCAUUUGUAUGUAAAUUUGCCAUGCUGCUGCAUUACAUAUUCGAAAUUCAGAGAGGUUCGUUUAUAGGCAUGGUUAAAGGAGAAGUCCAGUCGUUUGGAUUAACGAUGUAUCCUAUAGGUCAUGUCAUAUGUACUUGUACCUUGAAAAUUUGAGGUUAAUCCACUAUCAUUUAAUAGUAUUUUAAGAUUUUUAUUGGCAAUUGUGAAUUUUCAAGUAUGCCGCCAUUUUGGCGAGUCACAUGACCUACAUGCGCGGAUGUGACGUAUUACAUGCGAAAUCAUCACCGGUUUGUAGUGUCUUCACAUGCCGUACCACCACGACCGGACACUGUAAAAUACCUUACUGUAUCGUGAAAUUUUGCCAUAAUUCAGAUAGAAAUAAUCCGCCGGGUUAGAAAAAGAACCAUUUAAGGACAGGAAACCGGAGUGCCUGGAGAAAACCUAUGCAGGCACGGGUUUGAACAUGUAAACGCCACUUUUCCACACACACAGUCACAAAACACCACAAAACUCUAACCUUCGUCCUCAUAACUGUAAGGCCAACAACGCUUUACCACCUGAGCUACCAUGCGGCUGUUGUAGUAUUAACUUCCACCAAGCCAAAGAUCAUUUCAUUAUCACUUGGACCCCGGCGACCCUAUUAGCUAAAACAACUUUUCCCACAAUAUAAGGCCUACUUUUCACUGAUGGGUUCUACUAUCCUUCAUGGCCACGAGUGCUGUCCUCGGUGCAGUCCUCCGCUGGCUGGCCAAAGUGCAUUCCAAAAUCGAUAAGAUGGAUGAAUGCUGUAUCCCGCGCGUCGGCCUCCGCGUAGUCAAACUCGCGUGAUUUCCGUCCAAAGAAACAGAAAUAUUCAACGUUAUUUACAGCCACAGGUUCAAAUGUGUAUGGACGUAUUCCUCUGUCUUCCCGAACAAUCAAUACUGGAUUUCUUCAUGAGAUGAUGAAAAAUCCAAAAAAUCAGCACUGGCCAUAAUUGUUUCCCAACGAAAGUGAGCCUUUUUUGGGGCAUGUAAUGCGUCACAUCCGCGCACGUAGGUCAUGUGACUCUCCAAAAUGGCGGUGCCCAUGAAAAUUCGUAAUUGCCAAUAAAAAUCUUCUCAAAACACCAUUAAAUUUACCUCAAAUUUUCAAGGUAAAGUACAUAUGACGUGACCUAUUCGAUACAUUGUUAAUCCAAAUGACCGAACUUCUCGAAUUUCACAAUUGAUGAGUGGGUGAGGCCAAACUAUUUGCACACAACAAUUAAAAAUAUAAAUUUCCACUAUAUCCCCUUUAGUUUUUAAUCCAACCAAGACCUUUUGGACAAUUCCAGUUGAAACAAGAUGUUUAUAUACUCGGCAUGUAACGAUAUCUACAUGUCUACACAGCAAUCCCUUGUUUUUCGCAGUUAAUUGGGGACCAGAACUACCGUGAAAAGUGAAAACCCGCGAAGUAGCGGGGACAUAUGUUUAUGCGGGUACCAGAAUAAAAUAUUCAAACAGUAUUUGUGCUUUGCAUAUUUGAGACAAAAAGAGGUAUUUAGGUCAAUCUUUAAUUCUAAAACCUUAGAAAAAUACAGUAAUAUACAGGGCUGUGAAUUGAAGAGAAAAUCUGAGGAUUCUGGGCCCCAGACACCAAGCAACUUAAGACGUAAUAUGGUAUAUUCUGAGCAUUGGUCUCAAUAAGUAAAUAUUUUACUAGUGUUGGUGUACAUUUUUCCACAUAAAAUACCAAUUAAGUUUUGUCUUUUGAAUUGUUUAUUUUUGAUGGCAUCUCAACUGUGUCUGACCUAAAUUAAGUUACCCCUUGCUCCUGUGCCCUCCUUGAAAUCUCUAUUAAUUGCACUUGUAUUUCAUCUCUUAAUCAAAAAGAAAGUAAAACAUUUUAAAUUCAAUGAAAUGUUUAUAAAACAAAACUUCAUUUCAAAAUGGCUGUAAAAAAUCAUGCUCAAUAUUAAAGUGAGAAAUACCUGUUCCAAAUAACACUUUAUUCUUUUAUAAUGUCCUGUUAUCAAUGGCUUGUUCCAGGAAAAUGCCACAAUAUCUCUUGUUAAAAGUGAAAAAAACCUAAUGUCUCUGAUCUAUUAUACUAUUUACAUUUAUUCUUUUCUUCUGGCUCUUUCAAUUCCUCACUGCAUCACUGCCAGCUAUUUUUUCAAUUCAGCUUUCAUUAAUACUAUCUAUUAGUUGCUAGUUCUAUAGUAUUUGCAUUUUUCUUAAGUAUUUACAAUGUCUGUCAAUGUUUUUUCAUGUUCUUUUUAACACCAUCUCCUUCAUUUUUGCAAUCUUGCUCUUUUUCGUCUUUUCCUUCAGCUGGUCUGUGUGCUCUUUCCUUGCCCUCUUUGCGUCUCUCUCCAACAUCUCCUUCGCUUUCCUUUUUGAUGGCAUCUUAACUUUGUCUCACUAAGCACCCUGCUCCUGUGCCCUCUAAGUCUUGCCUUCUCCACUUUCUCUUCAUUGUAGGCCUUUUAUGAUGUCCUCAGAUUUUGGCGUAUUUUGAUGUCAAUUGGUUCAUGAAGGAAGUCCUUCUUCUUGAAUAAAUCAACAGCUGACUUCUGGUGCUGCAGAAUGUAGUAUUUCACCGUCUGUAGAGCGCUCAGUCUGCUGACAUUCAUACUUGGUGACCUAGAAUCCAUUAUGUCACCCAUUAAACUGAAUGCAGCUUCAACUCAUAGAAGUGGCUACGCACAGCCUUCACCAUCUUGAGAAGGUGGGGCGACUUUCCCUUUGCAUAAACAGCUGGCCACCAAUCGUCAACUCUCCCAGACUCCCAGACAACUAUCUUUGAGGUAGGCUCUGACCUCCAUGUCAUCGCUGUGAACGUCUGCACUGGACAAAACAUUUCGGACCAUUUUGGUAGACGGUGAAGACACUGUAAAACAACAUUGUGACCACAGAUGACUGGAUCCACAGCUGAGAAUGUUUGCAGUACUUCACUCUUCAGCGGCAUGGUUUUUUUGCAUGUACUGUCCACACUACAUCUGCUGACUUUGCCUUCUGGACAGUGGAGUCAUCGUUUCUGCAACCCUUAGCGAUCUUUCUUGUAGGUGUUCCCAUGAACAUAUCUUUACCUUUCAAAAUAUUACCUGCAUUGCUCUGGUUAAGCUUCUGGAUAUUCUUUGGCUCCGGACUCUGCAGACACUGGUUUGACAAAACAUGACACAAAUUCUGUAAGGAGAUCAACUUGCUUAUCAUGAAGCUUGUGGAUCAUAGGCUGCUUCAUUUCAAAGAACAACAUGCUUCUUUAAUAAAGGCAGGACAGAGAUGUAGAAAUGGCGAAAGAGCCUUGUAUAGGUUUUAUGAUGAGACAAGCGCUUGAUGAUAUGAUGUUUCCUCUCUUUCCCAUCUUGCAUCAUGUUCUUCUUCUCCAGAAUAAUGUGAAUGGUAUGGAUAGUGCUUCUGCCAAGAGGACUUUGUCUUCCUAUGACAGAAAUGAAUAAUAAAAUAAAACCAGAGCAUCUGACAGAUGCACAUGAUCCAAAGCCACCAAGUCUGUGUGCAAGGUGUCCACCUGAAUUACACUAAAUGAUGAAAAGUGACUGAGAACUACUUGCUUUGCGCUGGGAGAGAAGUAGCUCACGAGUAUAGCUAGAACUCUCUUGUUGUUGUGUGAUGUUGCCUCAUCUAUGUUGAAUGAAAAAUGGCAGGUUUCCGGAUCACUUAUUAGAGCAUCAGCCAUAGUUUUUUGCCAAACCUUACUUUAUAAGCUGCAGAGGUUCUGUCCAUCGACAGUGUUCAAUGCCUUCUUAUCAACAGCAGCAGCUUUCAUCAAUUCAAGGAUCCUUGGCACCAUAGAAAGAGAAAGCGAGUGUUCAGCGAUGAAUCCUAAUACCAAUCUCAAUGCGGAGGAGUAGCAGCUCGACACUGAGCCCUUCCCGGAUGACCGUGCUUCUCACCCUAUCUCUAAGGGAGAGCUUGGACCACCUGCAGAGGAAACUCAUUUAUGCCGCUUGUAUCGGGAUCUUGUUCUUUCGGUCACGACCCACAGCUCAUGCCCAUUGGUGAGGGUAGGAAUAUAGAUCGACUGGUAAAUUGAGAGCUUCGCCUUUCGACUAAGCUCCCUUUUCACCACAACGGACCAAUACAAACUCUGCAUCAAUGCAGACGCUUCACCGAUCCGUCUGUCAAUCUCCCGCUCCAUUGUUCCCUCACUCGUGAACAAGACCCCAAGAUACUUGAACUCUUCCACUUGGGGAAGGAUCUCAUCCCGGACCUGGAGAAGGCACGCCACUCUUUUCCGACUGAGGACCAAAAUUCUCAGAUUUGGAGGUGCUGAUUCUCAUCCCAGCCGCUUCACACUCGGCUGCAAAUCACGCCACUGAGAGCUGGUGAUCACGGCUUGAUGAAGCCAACAGAACCACAUCAUCCCCAAAGAACAGAGAUGCGAUGCUGAGGCUACCAAACCGGACACCCUCUACGCCUCAGCUGCGCCGAGAAAUUCUGUCCAUAAAUGUUAUGAACAAAAUCGGUGACAAAGGCCAGCAUUGGUGGAGUCCAACUCUCACCGGAAAUGAGUCCGACUUAUUCCCGACAAUGCGGACCAAACUCUGACAGCUGUCGUACAGGGACCGGACAGCUCGUAUUAGGGGAUUUGGUACCCCAUACUCCCGAAGAACCCCCCACAGGACUCCCUGAGGGACAGGGUCGAAUGCCUUCUCCAAGUCCACAAAACACGUGUAGACUGGUUGGGGGAACUCCCAUGCACCCUCAAGGAUCCUGCCGAGGGUGGAGAGCUGGUCUACCGUUCCACGGCCUGAAUCCGAGACUCGACUUCCCGACGGACCCUCCUCUCCAGUACCCCUGAGUAGACCUUACCAGGGAGGCUGACAAGUGUGAUCCCUCUAUAGUCUGAACACACCCUCCGGUCACCCUUCUUGAAAAGGGGGACCAUCACCCCAGUCUGCCAAUCCAGAGGCACCAUCCCCGAUCUCCAUGCAAUGUUGCAGAGGUGUGUCAACCAGGGCAGCCCCACAACAUCCAGAGCCUUUAGGAACUCUGGGCGAAUCACAUCCACCCCUGGGGCCCUGCCACCAAGGAGCUUUUUAACUACCUAUGUGACCUCAACCCCAGAGAUAGAAGAACCCGCCUCAGAACGCCCAGACUCACCUUCCUCGUGGGAAGGCAUGUUGGUGGAAUUGAGGUCUUCAAAGUAUUCUCCCCACCGACUCACAACAUCCCGAGUUGUCAGCAGUGCCCUGUCCCCACUAUACACUGUGUUUACGGUGCACUGCUUCCCCCUCCUGAGACGCCGGAUGGUGGACCAGAAUUUCCUCUAAACCGUCCUGAAGUCGUUCUCCGUGGCCUCACCGAACUCCUCCCACGCCCGGGUUUUUCCCUCAGCGACCACCGAAGCUGCAUUCUGAUUGGCCAGCCGAUACCUAUCAGCUGCCUCAGGAGUCCCACAGGCCAGAAAUGCCUGAUAGGACUCCUUCUUCAGCUUGACAGCAUCCCUCACUGUUGGUGUCCACCAACAUGUUCGUGGGUUACCGCCACGACAGGCACCGACCACCUGACGGCCACAGCUCCGGUCGGCCGCCUCAGCAAUGGAGGUGCAGAACAUCGUCCACUCGGAUUCAAUGUCCCCCACCUCCUCUAGGACGUGAGCAAAGUUCUUUCGGAGGUGGGAGUUGAAAUUCCUUCUGACAGGGGAAUCUGCCAGCCGUUCCCAGCAGACCCCCACAAUACACUUGGGCCUGCCACGUCGUACUGGCAUCCUCCCCCACCAUCGGAGCCAACUCAACACCAGGUGGUUAUCAGUUGACAGCUCCGCCCCUCUCUUCACCCGAGUGUCCAACAGGACCACAAAGUCGAUCAUCGAACUGCGCCCUCGGGUGUCUUGGUGCCAAGUAGACGUGUGAACACCUUUAUGCCUGAACAUUGUGUUUGUUAUGGACAAUCCGUGAUGAGCACAGAAGUCCAGUAAUAGAACACCACUCGAGUUCUGAUCGGGGGGGCCGUUCUUCCCAAUCACGCCCGUCCAGGUCUCACUGUCAAUGCCCACGUGGGCUUUGAAGUCCCCCAGCAGAAUGAUGGAGUCGCCAGAGGGAGCGCUCUCCAGCACUCCCUCGAAAGCAGGGGUGGGCAAACUUUAUGGUUUGGGGGCCACAUUGACUUUUAAAAUUUGACAGACGGGCCGGGUCAGCACAACAUACAAUACAUAUUAAAAACUGCAUUUGUUAACAGUACAAAUCAAACAUAAACAGAAAAAAGCCUUGAAGUAUUAACAUACUUUUUAAUGAGAACAGUGUUGUUGAUCACCCAUUUUAGCCGGUGCAUCGACGUCUGGUGGUAUUUCUGUUGUAGCAAUUCUCAGAACAGAUCUGAGCUGUUCAUCACUCAUCUGGGAUCUGUGGGGUGCUUUGUUGGUUUUCAUCACACUAAAAGUCGGUUCACACACACAUAUGUAGAGCCAAAUAACACCAGCAUCCUCUGUGCCAUCUUCUGGAUGUUUGGAAAUUUGGCUGCACUUAAUGAAGCAUAAAACUCAUCCAGUUUCAGGGAAUUGAAUUUGUCCUUUAACACCAUGUCACAUUGAAGAUCAAUCAGUUACAACUGCAACUCCUUUGGCGCCGUUUCCGGGUCGUGUGAGAAAGGACAUGACACCAGCUGAAGUGCCAUGUCAAUUGUUACAAAAUCACAAAACCAACAGCAGAAUUCCUCAUGUAGGUCAUCCAGUGGUUUUCUAUACUUUUUCACAUGUCGCGGGGCCUCUUGUAACGUAGCCGGUGUGGGGAAAUGAGCAAAUGACUUGUCUCAAAUUUGCUUCGAAAAUAAAACCAGCUUGUUUUUGAAAGCUCUGUUUGCUUGCAUUUCAUGAACAAACUGGUGUUUCCCUUGUAGCUUCACAUUCAGCUCGUUCAUGUGUCUCAGUAUGUCCACACUAAAAGCUAAGUCACAAAGCCAAUCUGUGUUGUUCAGCUCCGGAAAAUUGUCAGUAUUCUCAAGUAGCUCCAAAAAUGAAAUAAUGUCCUGUUUGAGCUCCCACACACGUUGACAUACUUUUCCCAAACUUAACCAGCGGAGAUUAGAAUGGUAAAGUAAGUCCGUGUGAUCAGCAUCAGUUUCUUCAAGAAAAUGAAUAAACUGACGAUGGUGAAGUCCCCUUGCUCGAAUAAAGUUAACGAGGUUCACAACCGGCUUCACUACGUGGUGAAGCUGCAACACAGAUUUAUACCGUGCUUCUACGUGAAUUAUGCAGUGUAGGAAAAUUACCUCCUGCUCAGGGUUGUCCUCUUUCACCCUGGCCUGAAUUCUCUUGAGCAUCCCAACGUUUUUUCCUGUCAGAUUUGGUGAUCCAUCUGUGGUAACGUUGGCGAGCGUACUCCACGAUAACUUGUGCUUCUGUAUGACCGCUGACACGCUGUUAAAUCAAUCCUCUCCACGUGUUUUUCCUUUCAGGGAUUCCAUAUCCAGAAACUCCUCCGUUAUCUCAAAAUUCUCAUUAAUCCUUCUGAUAAAGAUUUUAAGCUGAGCGGUGUCCUUUAUACCAUGGCUUUCGUCCAGUGCCAAAGAAUAUAAUGCAAAUGACUCCGCUUUUUUGUUUAGUUUGCUAGUUAAGUGUUUGUCAAUUACGUCAAUACAGCGAGUCACUGACCUGCGUGACAAGCAAAUUUUUUCGAACUUGUUCUUGCUCUCAGGACAUAAAAUACUUUGCCGUCUCUACCAUGCACUCUUUAAGAAACUCCCCUCCAGAGAAAGGCUUGCUUGCUUUUGCUAGUUUGAAUGCCAGUAAAUAACUUGUGUUCGUGCUUGCUUCUUGGAUGGAAGUUGCUCGAAUAAAGGUGUUUUGCUGAGCCUGCAAGCUAGCUACCAACCUGUCAGCGGUAGCCGUAAGUUUGUGUUGAAAGAUUGCUGGCGUAAUUAGCAUGCUUGGUGGUAAAGUGAUGGCUGAUGUUGUACUCUUUUAAAACUGCAACGGUUUCUUGGCAAAUAAGACAUACAGCCUUGGACCGGACUUUAGUGAAAAAGUACUGAGGUGUCCAUUCUUUGUUAAAAACCCGGCACUCACUGUCGACUUUUCUUUGACAUUGCUGUAGAUAGGUUCUGAUCUGACCAGUAGAAGCGAUAACUGGAGAUGGCUCGGGCUCCGUAAAAUCAAGACACUGCGCCUACUGCAUCACCUAAUGUUGAAAUGCCUGGUGCUACAAGUCAAAUUAAAUAAAUGCAAUCAUUCACAUCAAACCUUAAUUCUGUACAAAUCUUCGGCGGGCUGCAUGUGGCCCGUGGGCCGUAGUUUGCCCACCACUGCUCUAAAGACUCCAAAAAGGGUGAGUACUCUGCACUGCUGUUUGGUGCAUAAGCACAGACAACAGUCAUGACCUGCCCCCCUGCCUGCAGGCGGAGGGAGGCUACCCUCUCAUCCACUGUGGUAAACCCCAACAUACAGACCCCAAGCCGGGGGGCAUUAAGUAUAGGUAUAUUCCUAUUACCUCCUGCUCAGGGUUGUCCUCUUUCUGAAUUCUCUCUCUGUCCUGAAUUCUCUUGAGCAUCCCAACGUUUUUUUCCUGUCAGAUUUGGUGAUCCAUCUGUGGUAACGUUGGUGAGCGCACUCCACAGUAACUUGUGCACCUGCUCAGCGUCGCUCCCCAUGGGCAACCCCUCUCAAGAGUAGUGGUGCCAGAGCCCAAGUGGUGUGUAGAUAAAUAGUUUUCUGAAUGUAAAGUUGCUCGAUGAAAUGGAGGUGCGCUCACUGUCCAACAGAGUAAACAAGCAAAAGAGGAAUGAAUGGGACAGCAUAUGUGUGGUUGUCAAUGCUGCAGAUAGGGGUCGGGAACCUUUGGCUUGCGAGCCAUACCUGGCUCCUUUGAUGGUUGCAUAUGGAUCGCAGAGCCCUCAUAACAACAUACUGUACAUGUAAUUUCUGUUGCGUGGGCAACGCAAAUGCCACAGUGACAGUUUGUCCUAGUAGGGUAUUCGUAGUUUGAUGUCCAAUACGGCAAUCGAUGUGCGCAGGUGCAAAGGGGUCAAAUGCAGAUCGUGUCGGAACAACUAGUUGUGGAAACAUAUUUGACAAUGAUCAUUCUAAGACAAAACGAUCAGUCCCGCAGUAUUCGGCAAGAAUAGACAGAGGUGGUUGAGAGAGAAGGUUCUGCUGUGUUCCUAAAUUAGGACAAAAUUGCAACUCUCAAAUAUGAAGCGACACUUUGACAUGGGCCCUUCCAUCAGAAUAUUCUGCAGGGGCAGCAGGAAGAAAGCAAGUCAAGAGCUACUUUUCAGAGUCCAAGUUAGUCAGCAGCAAAUCAGUGUUAACCCUAACCCAACAAGGUUAAUGGAAUUCAGAUAGCUCUGCUUGCGCUUUAGCAAUUGUGAGAAAUGGAAAGCCAUUCACAGAUGGGGAGUAUGCCAACGCAUUCGUAUUUGAUGUUGCCAAUAAACAUUUUGACAACUUCGCAUAAAGACAAAAUAAUAAAACGAAUAAAAGAGGUACCAAAUUGAAUUACGUUCACAAUUAAUGGAAGUCUCAAAGUCUGCAUGAAGCAUCAACUAACCUAUUAAACAUACUUUAAAGCCAUCAGCAAAACCAUGCAACACCAGAAGUCACAUUAAUGGUAAAAAGUACUUUUGUCAUCAUUGGUUAGCAACAGCCUAACAAUGUUAUUUAAAAGAAUUCAGAGACUUAUUGUAUUCUAAAAGUUCUGGUCUUACAUAAAACGCGCAAAUAUACCUGUAUUUAGUUUUUAAAACAUUAUAUGGUUCUUUUGAAAUUAAAUUUAAAAGUCGAAAAGGAUCCCGACCCCUGCUGUAGAGACAGAAUAGCGGACACAUGCUGAGCUACAAAAUAAACGGUCAAACAAGAAGGUAGACGUGAAACAGAAAACCACUGCCCACCACCAAAGUGUAGCCAAAACAGGCAGAAGAACCGUAAUUAAGGAUGACACUCCUCUCAUGUGGCUGAGUCUGAUUACCCCAAGGUAAAUACCAUGUAUGCCCUAUGAGAGAGGUUCUUGCAUAAAUGUAUGUAGAGUAUAUGUAAUAAAUUCCAAUGAAUUCAAAUAAAGCACAUCAUAUCGAAGGAUAUAAAAAAUGUUCAAUUAUGCUUAAUUAAGCAAUUAUUUUUUAUACACAGUAGAGGAGACGCAGUUCCAGCCACAUGCUACAUGUUCGUUGGAUGCGUCCACCGUCUCUGGUCUGUCACAGAUGUGGAGGAUUCCUCCAGUUGGAAAAAAAAAAAAGCCUUUGAAUUUACUUCAUUUGAAGAUGUCUAUCAGUUGUGCAUAAUUACAAUGAUGACAAUGUAUCCCUCUUCAAAAAGGAAAAAGUAAUUUGAACCGAUUUUAAUCAUUUGAGGUACAUGUUCUAAUUAAAUUCAAACGAUUAUUUUUUUCAGUGCUUUCAUCACUGUGUAAUUUAUGUGGAGGAGUCAUCCUCAGGGUAUCUGACGCAAUUACACUCUAACAAUCGGCUGCUGCUGCCAGCCCAACUGGCUGUGUCCUUGCUGUGCUGGAAUCACAAGAGGAAAUUGUGAGGCCAAUUAGCAGCAUAAAUGAUCGCCUUGAUCAAUUUUUAGGCAUUCUCACAAAUAUCAGUGAUUUGUUAAAUAAACUGGUUAAAAAGUGGAUUCCAAGGCCUUGCCUAUUUACAUCAAUGAAAUCAAAUUUCAGGCAAUACCUCAUCAGUGCUAAAUGGUCAUGUGUCUCAGAUGUAUUAUAAGUUUUCCAGCAUCACCUCUCAAUAUUGCCAAAGCACCAACAACUGUUGAAGCGUGCGUACACCAGCAAUGAAAUUAACUUGAUGUACGGACAUUUUUAUUUCUGUCUUGAUACAUCUGAACUUUGCCAUGAAAAAGAAUGUGAGCUACAUUUUUUGUGGGUACGUACAUUUGUACCCGAGGCCCCUGGAGUGGCUUCCCUGGUCUCUAGAUCUCAACACCAAUGUAAUCUUUGGUGGCAGUUGAAAGUCUGUGUUGCCCAGCGACAGCCCCAAAACAUCACUCCUCUUGAGGAGAGGUGCACUGAUGAAUGGGCCAAAAUACUAGCAAGUGUUUGAAAACCUUCUAAAGACUAAAUAGAAAACAUUGACCUCUUUCAUUGCCAACUAAAGGUAAAACACAGGAAUGAGAUGACCUUUUGUUAUUGACCAAAUACUUAUUUUCCACCAAAAUUUGCUAAUAAUUUCUUGGGAUUUUCUGGAUUUUUUUACCCCAUAAUUUUUGUCUCUCAUAGGUGAGCUAUACCUGUGAUGAAAUUUACUUUCUUUUUAAGUGAGAAAACUACAGAAGUAAAUUAGUGCCACCAAGAUUUGAAUUUGAAUUUGAAAUGUAUUGUGAUCACAUUUUCAAUAGUUGUAUUUCAGUGUAACUUUUCAAUGUUAACAAUUCAACUGGCUACAAUUCACUGUCUGAAAUUCAACCAGCUACAAUUUGCUGUCAGAAAUUCAUCCGGCUACAAUUCACUGUCUAAAAUUCACCAAUCCAGUUACACUUUCUUAGAUGUGAUGUCACGUGACUAAGAAAGCAUAACUGCGAUUGGCUGGGUGUUCGGUUCUGACCUGAGGUAACCCUGCCUGGUGGCACAGACAGUGAAUUUUAGACAGAAAAUUCUAGCAAGUUGAAUUUCAGACCGUGAAUUGUAGCCAAUUGAAUUUCAGACAGCGAAUUGUAGCCACUUGAAUUGUUCACAUUGAAAAGUUAGACUGAAAUAUAACUAUUAAAAAUGUGAUCAUAAUACAUUUCAAAUUCAAAUCCUGGUGGCACUAUUUUACUUGCAUAGAAAAUGUGCAAAAUUAGUAGCUGAUGAAAUACUUUUUGCCCAACUGGAUAUACAAAUAUCUCAUUGGUUUUGUUCAAUCAGAUCAACUUACUGAACCAUGGCUUUUACAUACACAGAUAUUUUCACUUUUGAGGUUUAAAUAAUGUUAUAUAUAUAUAUAUAUAUAUAUAUAUCUUCAUACUCACUCAGAACAAGGAUGCAAGGUGACUUAACAUUCAAAUCAGAGGUACUUUUUUUGUCGGUCUACCGUUCAGUUUACAGUAAGCAAUGUAAUAUUUUUUCACAAACUAUUAACUUGGCGGCGGCACGGUGGCUCAGCUGGAAGGCAUUGGCCUCACAGUUCUGAGGUCCCGGGUUCAAUCCCAGACCCGCCUGUGUUCUCCCCGUGCCUACGUGGGUUUUCCUCGGGCACUCCGGUUUUCUCCCACAUUCCAAAAACAUGCAACAUUAAUUGGACACUCUAAAUUGUCCCUAGGUGUGAUUUUGAGUGUGGCUGUUUGUCUCUAUGUGCCCUGCGAUUGGCUGGCAACCAGUUCAGGGUGUACCCUGCCUCCUGUUCGUUGACAGCUGGGAUAGGCUCCAGGACUCCCGUGACCCUUGUGAGGAUAAGCGGCUAAGAAAAUGGAUGGAUGGAUGGAUAUUAACUUGGCAUAAAACCUUGACCUGUACGACUAACUAAUCAUUUUUAGUUUGAUAUGCAAAAUUUAAUUUGUUGGAUUUUUUUUGUUUGUUUUAUUAACCCAGUGUUAGUUGUAUUAUUUUUAGCUAUCAUUUUACUUGCUCAUCAAUUUUUAAUUUGUUAGAAUUAUGAUGGGGGAAGGGGGUCCUUGGAGCCACUGUUUGGAGUCCCUGGCUGGCUGUGCCCACAGUUUGUAAAUGACAUUUCUAAACAGUCAAAUACAAAUGGCUAGAAACAAAGCACUGUCAGGUUUCCAUGAGGGAAACCUUUUAGGAAUAGUGUCAAUAAUAAAUAGAGGACUAAAUAAGUGAACAAACCUACCUCUUUGUAAUAUCACAAGGCAUGGAAACACCGUAAUAGUAAUUGUCGCUCUUUCUCUUUUCCCUGACUAUAAGGUUCCUUCUCUUAUUCUUUCAAAGGCUACAAAAAAUUCACACACACACAUACUACAAAAACAAAGGUAGCAUUCUGGUAUCUGUAAACUAAAUAACAUAUAUAAGAAUUGCAUGCAUGUUUCCUGGAACUAUUGUAGAACAAAUAUACAACUUGUAAAGGUUACAGUGCAUGCAAACUGGUUAUUUUCUAGUAUCAAUACAGUCAAUUGAUUUCCUUCAAAAUUGAUUUAAACCAAUGUAUUUUCAUCCAGAACGCUAACUUGCCAUGCGCAGAUCAAUCCAGUUUGAUCGUAGGUAAAUAAAUCAAUCCAUGUAAUGAAUGAAUCAAAUCACAUUCAAUGUUUCAGUAAAUCCAUGCCUGUUAUGUACAAUAUAUAUUAUAGAUAUUUUUCCUCUCACAGUUUCAUAUAAAGUCAGACUAAACUUUUCCUUUAGGAUGAUCAAUUAGGAUUACCAAAAUUUGAAUUUGCUACAUGCUAGAAUGAGCGUUUUUUUUUUUUUCCCCCAAUUAAUUUAUUACGUUCUUCAAAGUCAGAGGUUUGGAUGCAGUAACACUACCAUCCCUUUAAACAAUCUGGGAGAACACUGUCGAUGUCAUUUCUUUGGAGCCUUCUGAUAGUUUCACUGACAUUUGCGUUCGAGACACACCUAUGGAUCCAUUUUAACUCUGCACACAUGAAAUACACAUUUUUGCGUGUGUAUACAUCAUCAUGGGAAAUUCAUAACAACUCAACCAUGGUAUCAGGAAGAAAACUGUGGACCGGCACAUAUGUCCAGUUCCUCCUUUGAUGAGGAUGAUUCAUGUUGGGACAUUGGUCGGGAAACAAACAUACACUAGUUGUAAAACACAGCAGAAAGAUACACAACUACAUGACUAAUGCAUUAAUGUAUUAAAUACUUUGCUUUUUUUGUAUCAUGAGAUUUGUGUGCAAAUUGUAUGGCUUGAGGAUAAAUAAAUUGAUCAGUCAUCUCAUAAUUAAUAAAUCAGAAUGUAAUUGGAAAUCUAAACUGAACCUAUAGACAGAAGGAUUUCUCAGUGUAUGUAAGAUUACUUUUGCUGUUUGAUGCUAUAUUAUUGAACUACUUGUGUACCUACUACCUGCUGAUGCUGGUAAAAACAAGUGUGGAAUACUACACCACCCAUUUGUGAGUAUAUGCAAAUUUAACAACCAGGAACAAAACAUAAGACUAGACGACAAAUGUAAAUAUUUGUGUUAAUUUGAUUAUGCAGAAAUAAUGGGUUGAUAAAGGACAUGAUGAAUGAUGCACACCAUUCCUUCCAUUUUUAUGACGUUAAUAUGCAGAUUAUACAUAGGAGCUAAUUUUAACAAAAUGUUAUAUAUAUAUAUAUAUAUAUAUAUAUAUAUAUAUAUAUAUAUAUAUAAUUAUUUUUUUUAAACAAGCUGUUUAAAAAAAUAAAUGGAAUCUUUUAUUUUGUUAUAAAAUAUAUUUCACUCAGCUGAGUGUAAAGGAUUCAAAUACAUCUAUGAAAGCAAUUAGCCAAACUAUAAUUUACAAAUAAAUACUUGAAUUCUGAGAUUUUUAGCAUUUUUGCUUUAAAAAAUAAAUAAAAAUGUAUGGAAAUAUUUUUUUUCAAAGCAGGCCAGUGGUUAGUGAUGUCAUGUCACAGCAAGCAUGUUGCAACCGUGUUCUGGGUUUGAGCCAGUUCACUUGCUUGUGGUCUUUUCUGCAACUGCUUGGAUGGCUUCUACCCAACUGUUUGAGAUGACCUGACAAUGAAAGGGAUGAAUGUUUCUACUCAUCGGAGUGCCAUUCAAGAUUAUAUUAAGGAAGGGGGUGAGUCGCAAAUAAUCAAGUUAAUGUAAUUCUGUUCAAACUCGUUAUAAGUUCAAGUAUAAACUUUUCAUUCUAAAUCAUAAGUGUUAUUUGAAACCGAUUCAAAUUACAUCAUCAAGUCUGUUUCAGUGGAUGUCCUCAGCAUAAAGGAUAAUUGGGUCGUUUUCAGAUUUGAUUAAUAAUGGGAAAAGGACUUGUUGAAAAAAAAUAUAAUUUAGCAUUUCUUAUGCCACCUUGGUUUUAUAAAUUUCUCCCAUGCUGAAUCAUCCUUCCUUAGUCGUAUUUUAAAGAAGUUAUUAAUGAUUUAAUGUCUUGGGGAUUCCUAGUAAAGGCAAUCCUAAUUGACAGCAAAUAGUGAUAACCCAUUGGAAUAAACUUUUUUUUUUAACAAGUCAAAAAUUCAUAAUAGUUCAAACAAACACCUUGAUUAAAAUUGUGAAUUACACAAUGUGCUGCCAUUCAAACUGUGAAUUCAGGUCUUUAAAUCACCCUCACAACUCAUGAAACCCAUUUGACCCUCCUCUGUAUAGAGUUGGAAUAAUGGGAAAGAUAUACAAAAGUCACUUUCACAAGUUCAAACAUUUCUUCGAAAUUUAUUUUGCUGUCUACUAUUCUUUGAACGCAAAAUGUCUGCCUCAUCCUGCUUUUUCAGUUCAGAGAUCCUUCUGGUGUCUUGCAAGAACAUCAUGAAACUAUUUUCACUGGCAGUAUCAGUAAAGACUGCAGAUGGCAAAUAAGUACUGUUUUUAACAAAACUAAAAACUCUUCAAAAAAAAAAAAAAGAUUUGUGUUAGGAAAAGGUGUAGAAAGCAACAACAGAAAAAUUCUACACAGUAUCCAACAAAAGUAUUGGAACAGCAGGUUCAAUUCCUUUGUUUUAGUUGAAGUAUGGAGACAUUUGCGGUUUCAGAGCAAAAGAAAACGUGAGACACAACACCUUUUGUUAGGACCCACACACUUUUCAAGUGAUCAAAGUAUCAGACCAAACAUUAUUAACUUAGUCAAUAACAUAAUUAAUUAAUUAUUAAAUAAUAAUAAUAACAAUAUUUGGUGGCAUAACCCAUACUUGCAAUAACAGCAUCACCAUAAUGUUAUAUUCGUCAUUUUAAAUGGUUUUCUAUGCCUUUACUGCAGAAUCUUUCAGUUGUUGUUUAUUUAUGACUGUUUCUCCCUUCAGUCUCCUCUUCAGUAGUUAAAAUGCAUGGUCUUUUGGGUCAUGGUCUGGUGACUGACUUGUCCAGUCCAAGACCUUCCACUUUUCCAACCUGGUUUUAAUAUGUUGGCAGUGUGUUUUUGGUCAUUGUCUUGUUGCAUAAUGAAGCUUCUCUCGGUUGUAUUUUUCUUUAAAUUGCCAGAAAAAAAUGUUUUUGUAGAUUUUGGAAUGCAUUCUCCUGCUACUAUCAUGAGUUACAUUGAUUAAAGAUUAGUGAGCCUGUUCCAGGAGUAGUCAUGCAAGAACUCCACCUUGCUUUACAGAUGAGCUCGUUUGUUUUGGAUCAUAAGCAGAUUAUUUCUUUCACCAAGUUUGGCCUUUCCAUUACUUUGGUAGAGGUUAUUCUAGGGAUGAUUAGCUCAUAAAACCUGUUCCAAAACUUUUGUCUCACAUCUCUGUACUUCUUGUCAAAAUCUAAUCUGACCAUCUUUUUUUGCUGAUGAGUCAUUUGGAUCUUGUGGUGUGACAAAGUUUGCAAACAGUGGACUAAUACCUUCACCCCUAACUUGUGGAGGUUGGCAGUGUUGUAAUUGACUGUUACUUUGCGAGUUACUUCACAGCUGUCCAAUGUUUCUGUCACCAACUGCUGUUGAUGCCCUUACCUGACCUGUUCUGUCUGUUGCUUAGUACAGCAGUAGUUUCUUUUUCAGGACAUUCCACGUUGUUGUACUGUAUUGUCUCUACCAAAAUGUUUGUGCAAUAACUGAUUGAUUUUCUCACUUAGCUUCAAAAUGCUUUGCUUUUCUCCCACGGAAAGCUUUCUGAUCUUCAUGUUUGCUUAACUGCUGAAACCUAAAGCCUAAAAAUAAGGAUAUAAUGUUUGCGCUAUCUAUCUAAAAGGCAAAAUCUGAGCAACUAGAAACGCUCAUCAGUCAUGUUCCAAUAACUUUUGCUCACUUGAAAAGUAAGGGUGUUAAAAAAAAAGUGAUCUGUCCUGAGUUGUUUAACACAUCCAUCUAUACAUUUUCUGAGCCGCUUAUCCUCACAAGGGUUGCGGGAGUGCUGGACCCUAUCCCAGCUGUCAACGGGCAGGAGGCAGAGUACAUCCUGAACUAGUUGCCAGCCAAUCGCAGGGCAUUCACACGUUUUUGGGAUGUGGGAGGAAAUCAGAGUCCCCGUAGACAACCCACGCAGGCAUGGGGAGAACAUGCAAACGCCACAGAGUGGGUUCUGACAUUUGAACCACAGUCUUGAGAACUGUGAGGCCAAUGCUCCAACCAGUUGCCCACUAUGCCGCUUUAACACUUCUAGCUAUAAAUACCAUGAAAUAAAUGUUGGAAUUCAAAAUCUUUGCCUCUGAGAUACGAAAUACUAAUAGAUACUGUAACCCUCACUAAGAUAAACCAAUAAUAAAUCAUGUACAGUGGAUUCAGUACUGUCUGUAUCUUUGGGUUUCUUACUUUCUUCUGUCACCUUUAUGAUUGGGACAUAGAUUAUGUAAUACUAGUUUUAAGGGCUCUCAAACCUGUAGCUAGAGAUAGAAUGUUUGAAUUGUUUUGACCUUGGGUGCCUGAUCAUGUACAUGAAAUACAUCUGAAACCAAGGAUGAAUUAUUGAUGUGCUAAGCUUUUUUGUUUGUUUGUAUGUUUUGUUAUUGUUUUGGUGGUUUACCUCUUGGUGAUUUCAGUGGUGUACAUCAAUUUCCACCAAGGGCAAAUCAUAACAAUUGAUCAUUACAUUCAUUUGUGCUCUUUUUCUCAUCUUAAUCAUAUUGAACGACUUAUGCAUGCAUGUCUUGUACCUGCUUCUGCACUGGUACUGUAUGUACAAAACAUUAUAUCAUCCAUUGUUCUUUUCUUGAAUACUCACACGGGUCUUUUUUAUGUGGUUUGUCCUAAGUUACAUUUAAACAUUAUAUUGUGGUGCUAUAUAUAUUUGAUAAUAAUGACUUGGUAUUCGAUCAUUCCGAUGAAAAUAAUGUAAGUUGAAAAUUUUCUGGAGUAAAAAUUAUAUUUUGGAUACAAGUAUGAAAAUUAAUGUGCAAAUGUGAGAGACAAGGUACAGAAUAAAAUUACAGUUUCAGGUUUGUAUGUCUUUUUGAUAGUUAUUAGUUCUCAUGAUAAAUUUGUUUUGGGAUUAAGCUUGGAUUGUAAAUAAAGCAUAAUGUAUGGAUCAUCAUAUUGAUUGCAAUUGUGUUUUCACGCAUUACAAACUUCCGCAUGGAUGUUUAUGUUGUGAUUUUUUUUUGUAAGAUUUGCCUUUUGCAUUAAAUAAAAUACUGAAUAACAUUCA